AAAGGAAAAAAAAGAGAACCAAGAUUAAGGAAGACGUCGGGUGCGUAUCUCGACGCAUACACGGUCAAUUUGGAACUGAUUAUUUGUUCGUUGGUAUUUCCAUCGUAGAAUUUAUCGAUGAUUUCUUGACAAGUUUGUGAAGCUAUUUCCAACGGGCAAACUCGUAACAAAUAGCCAAUAGCAGAUGCAAAUGCAUCACUUACUGCAGCAUUUCUAUCAAAGCAAGAAGAUUUCAAGGAUUGAAGCAGCUUUGAAGCAAACUGCUUGACGAGU